rnacentral:rRNA from 1 species
AGGAUAAACGCUGGCGGCGUGCAUGAGACAUGCAAGUCGAACGGACGAUCAGGGCUUGCUCUGAUCGUUAGUGGCGGACGGCUGAGUAACGCGUAGGUGACCUGCCCCGAAGUGGGGAAUAACUGCCCGAAAGGGUGGCUAAUACCGCAUGUGGUGGUGUGUUCAUUCACACCAGUAAAGCCGCAAGGCGCUUCGGGAGGGGCCUGCGUCCGAUUAGCUCGUUGGUGGGUAACGGCUCACCAAGGCGACGAUCGGUAGGUGGUCUGAGAGGACGAUCACCCAGACUGGGACUGAGACACGGCCCAGACUCCUACGGGAGGCAGCAGUCGGGAAUUUUUGCGCAAUGGACGAAAGUCUGACGCAGCAACGCCGCGUGAGGGAUGAAGGCCUUCGGGUUGUAACCUCUUUUAUCAGGGAAGAUAAUGACGGUACCUGAUGAAUAAGUCACGGCUAACUACGUGCCAGCAGCCGC